UUGCAACCGACUCACAGGGACAAUCCCACCUGGAUUGGGGAAUUUGAGUGAAAUCCGAGGACUAAACUUGUCGCACAACAACUUAAAUGGGGCCAUCCCUUCAACUUUCUCAAAACUCAAGCAGAUUGAGAGUUUGGACCUUUCUUACAACAACUUAACUGGCAGGAUACCCUCUGAACUGACUGAGAUGACUGCUUUGGCGGUAUUUUCUGUCGCACACAACAACUUGUCAGGGCCUCUCCCCAAUAGGAAAAAUCAAUUUGGGACAUUCGAGGAGAACAGUUACAAGGGAAACCCUCUUCUUUGCGGACCUCCAUUGAACAAGAGUUGUAGUGAAGGUACUCCAAGUGCUUCAUCUAGCGAAGAAGAACAUGGUCCAGUAGACAUGGGUUAUUUCUAUAUCAGCUUUGCAGUUUCCUAUGGAAUUAUAUUCUUGGCAACUGUCGCUGUACUCUACAUAAACCCAUACUGGAGACGUGCAUGGUUUAAGUUUGUUGAAGACUGCAGCACCGCAUGCUAUUUCUUCAUCGUGGAUAGGCUUGGUCGUUUGCCCUGCUUCAGAAGAAACAUGUAGCCCUAUAUCUUCUAUGCGUGGUUCUAGACAUUUGGUUCAAACAUUGUAUAAGAUGGAAGUGUAGACUAUAUUUUGAUUUCUGUAUACUUUGCUUGGUAAAAUAAUUGUAUUUGAUUUCUGUUAUGAGAUGCAGUAUAAUUUAGAUUCUAUGUCUACAUUUUUUACUUUUUUAUAAAAUAGAUCCACCAUCUUCUCUUUGAAUUAUAAAGCAAUAGUAAGAGUUAAUACAAAAAAUUAAUUAGUAAACCACUGCUUUAGAUACACUGAAAUGGUUAAUAAAAAAAUUAUACUAGAAAUUUAAUAUACAUUGCUUUUACUUUCAAUAAAAUUCACCUUUCAAAAAUAAUAGAAUUAUGCUAGAAAUAGUGACAUUCCCAUUUGAGUAAUAUAUAUAUAUAUUAAAUAAAUUUAGCCUCAUAAGGAAUUUAAUUACUUCAUUUUACAAAUUCUAAAAAUCAAAUUCAAUUGUUGACAUCAUAAAUUUAUUUUAUUAAAUUUAAAUUCAUUGUAAUAUUUUUUUAUUACAUAACUAUCAAGUGACUAUUUUAUUAUUUUAAAAAGUUAUAUUUGUGAAUUUAAAAAAAUUAAAAAAUUAAUAAUUGAAUAUAAAUUUUAAAAUAAAAAAUAAAAAGAUUAAAUUCUUAAUAAUAAAAUAGAGAAAUUAAAUAUAACAACAUAAGUGAUUAUAACAUAUUUUAACUUAAAUAAAUGCUACUACGAGGAAUCUUAAAAAAACAUCAUUAGACAGUUACUAAUUGUUGGUUUGAAAGUAAAAAAUGUUUUGGUAAUUAUUCAACCACAUAAUGUUGAUACUUUGGUUGUAAACAACAAUCAGCCAGAGAUAGUUUAUUAGAGAUAGAACGUUGAUAAUGACAAUAUAUCCCAAAGAAAAGAGAAAUAAAAAUAAAGAACACAUAAAUUUUUACGUGGAAAUACUUUCGGGAAAUCACGGGCAGAGGAGAAGAAAAUUCACUAUGUCAAAUUCAAAUGAUUACAAGAGGAGUUUCAACUACAUCUAUUUAUAGGUUGAAAAACCUAAUUAUAAUCAAAGUCAAAUAUAUUAUGCUAAUAAAUGCUAAAUAUAUUGUACUCAUAAAUACUAAAUCUUCUAGAAAGAAGAUAUAUUUUGUUCAACUUGACUUGCAAGCAAUCUCUUAGAAUUUGUGUCACACAACUCUAACAAUUUCCACAUUGACACGAAUUCUCAACGAACAAGUUUUUCACCUCUUCCAUAAAACCCCUUAAGUGUUUAACUUCAACAAUGAACACCAACCAAGUCUAAGCAAUGCUCAAAAUUGGUUAUAGGAAGUGACUUAGUCAUCAUAUCUGCAGGAUUUUCAUGAGUACUAAUUUUGCUCACAACAAUAUCACCAUGAGUAAUAAUAUCACAAACAAAAUGAUACCGAACAUCAAUGUGUUUUAUUCUCUCAUGAAACAUUUGAUCUUUUGUAAGGAAGAUGGCACUCUGAUUGUCACAAUAUACUGUACUGAUUUGAAGGUCUUCAUUGAGUUCACUAAAGAGUCCCUUCAACCAAAUAGCUUCUGUACAAGCCUCAGUAAUCGCCAUGUACUCAACUUUAGUGGUAGACAAAGCGACUGUAGUUUACAAAGUGGCUUUCCAACUGAUUGCACAACCUCUAAUUGUAAAGACAUAACCUGUGAGAGAUCUUCUUCUAUCAAGGUUUCCAGCAAAAUCAGCAUCAACAUACCCAAUGACUCCAUCUCUAGUUCUUCCAAACUGUAAGCAAACAUCAGUAGUACAUCGUAAGUAUCUUCAAAUCCUAACUUGAAUUAUGAAACUAAUCCUCGAUAUAAUCCAUCAUACCAAUCGAGACCUUUGCAACCACUACAACAACAACCCAAGCCGAGCACAUCUCUAAAAGCUGUUGUGGAAAGAUUUUCCAUCGAUGCUGCAAAAUAUCAACGGAGGACAGACGCAUCAAUACAAGAGUUAACUAAUCAAGUUAGUAAACUCUCGAUGGCAGUAAAUCGUUUGGAAUCUCAAGGUAAAUUACCUUCCUAUAUGGAGCCAAACCGAGGCAGAAUGCAAGUGCAAUAACUCUUCGUAGCGGAAAAGUUUUGGAAACAGUUCCAGACAAAAGUCAUGGGCAAGAUAAGGAAUGGGAAAAAAAAUCUCUAAUCCAAAAGCCAGACCAGAAUCAGAAAUUCAAAAACUAGUCGUGAUGCCACCUCCUUUUCCAGGGAGGCUCGCAAAGGAUAAGAAAGAGAAGGAGGAAAAAGAAAUCCUCGAAACAUUCCGGAAGGUGGAGGUAAAUAUCCCUUUGCUCGACGCUAUCAAACAAAUCCCUCGUUAUGCAAAAUUCCUUAAGGAAUUGUGUACUAGUAAGAGGAGGUUAAUAGGUAACGAAAGAGUAAAUGUAGAAGAAAAUGUCUCCGCAUUACUGCAAAAGAAAGUUCCACCCAAAUACAAGAACCAAUGUAUGUUUGGUAUUUCCUGUGAGAUAGGUAAUGUAGGCAUUAAGAAAACCAUGUGUGAUUUAAGGGAUUCCAUUAAUGUUAUGACUUAUUCUAUCUAUAAGUUGAUUAACGUGGGUCCUUUAAAAGAGACAGGAGUAAUGAUCCAGUUGGCGGACAGGUCAGUCGUCUAUCCCGAAGGGUUGCUUGAAGACGUCAUUGUUAAAGUUAACGAAUUAGUUUUCCCUACAGAUUUUUACAUUAUUAAUAUAGAGGGCAAGAACUCAACUAAUUUUUCUUACAUUUUGCUUGGAAGGCCGUUCCUAAGUACUGCAAGCGCAAAAAUUGACGUUCAGAGUGGAACACUAACGAUGGAGUUUGAUGGUGAAAUCGUGAAAUUCAAUAUCUACGAAGCUAUGGGUCAUCCUAACUCACUAUUAAAUAUUUCUAGUAUCGAUAGUAUAGGUUGUUUAACUCAAUCUUAUUUCGAAUAUCAUGACUAUGAUGAGUUGAAAAUUGUCCUUUACAGAAGCAUUGACAUGGAUGUUUUAAAUCAUCUCGAAGAAUUAACAAUUAUAGAAGAUCCGUUGUGAGAAAUUGUCAGACACUUGGAGACGCAACCAUCGUUGACGGACUGAGGUAACCAAUUUGAACUAUUACCUUCCUAAACUAAAACGUUGCCUUCGAUUUUGCAACCACCAACCUUGGAGCUUAAAGCAUUACCAGACCAGCUCAAGUACGUCUUUUUGGGAGAGAAAGACACCUUACCGGUGAUAGUGUCAAAUAAACUAACUAAAGAUGAGGAGGAAAGUCUAGUUCAAGUUCUAAGGGAUUAUAAGGAAGCUAUUGGUUAGACAAUAGCCGACAUAAAAGGGCUAAGUCCAUCCACUUGUAUGCACAAAAUUUCCAUCGAAGAUAACAUGAAACCAAAGAGAGAUGCUUAGAGGCGCCUUAAUCCACCAAUGAUGGAGGUAGUAAAGAAGGAGAUCCAGAAACUAUUGGAUGCUGGAAUGAUAUACCCGAUCUCUGAUAGUGAUUGGGUUAGCUCGGUUCAUGUCGUGCCCAACAAAACUAGCGUGAUAGUGGUGAAAAACUCGUCAGGAGAGCUGGUCCCUACUUGAGUUAAGAAUGAAUGGAGGGUUUGCAUCGAUUAUAGAAAGUUGAAUGCAGCUACCCGGAAAGACCAUUUUCUAUUUUCCUUCGUUGAUCAAAUGCUCGAGCAAUUAGCUGGUAAGACCCAUUAUUGUUGUCUUGAUGGGUACUCGGGAUUUUUCCAAAUUCCAGUGGCUCUUGAGGAUCAAGACAAAACAACUUUCACAUGCCCCUUCGGAAUGUUUGCGUAUAGACAAAUGUCGUUUGGAAUCUGCAAUGCUCCAACCACUUUCCAGAGAUGCAUGGUGAGCAUAUUCUCUGAUUAUGUCGAGAAAAUCAUUGAAGUCUUUAUGGAUGACUUCACGGUAUACGAUAACUCUUUUAACGAAUGUCUCGAUAAUCUUGCUAAGAUAUUACAAAGAUUCCUAGAAUUCAAUCUUGUUUUAAAUUAUGAGAAAUGCCACAUCAUGGUUGACAAAGGAUUAAUUUUGGGUCAUAUAGUUUCCUCAUAAGGAAUUGAGGUCGAUAAAGCAAAAACGGAUAUUAUUAACUCGUUACCUUACCCCACAUCCGUGAGGGAAGUUCGUUCAUUUCUUGGCCAUGCAGGAAUUUAUAGACGAUUCAUUAAAGACUUCUCGAAAAUUGCAUAACCACUUUGUAAUCUGUUACAGAAGGAUAGAACAUUUGAAUUUAACCAGACUUGUAAAGAUACAUUUGACGUACUGACUCAGAAAUUGGUCUCCGCUCCCAUAGUACAACCACCAAAUUUGAACUUUCCGUUCGAAAUCAUGUUGAGGAGAUUGUUCUCGAGGAGCCCAAGACUUGAAUAACAGGUCGUCGAGCUAACGACGUUAAACAAAGUGCUGUUGGGAGGCAACCCAAAUAUUUCCCUUUAUGCAAAUAAAAUUUUUGAAAGGUAAAACGGAAAGUAAAAAUGCAUGUCGAGGAUCGAUUCUGUCUAAGGAAAGACUUGGUACUUAAGAAUGUCCAUUGUGACUCACCUCUCUUUUCUGGGAACUUACCUAGUGCAUUUAUAACGACUAUUUUACUAAACCCUAUAAUCUUGGUUUUUAAUAAGUUAAGCAUAGCAUUAGCUAAGCUAUGAAUUUGAGAAAUAAAAAUUACACAUUUUAUUUUAUUUUUCUUCCUUCUAUUUUAUUUUAUUUUGCAGGCAGACCUUCUAAGACAAAAUUGAAGCCCCCAUGUCGGCCCAUAAAAUUCCUUCAAUUUCAGCCAAGGACCCACCAUUUAACACCGUGGACACACUUACGAGGCCACCCUCCAAGACGUUGAAAUACAUGGGGAGUUUUUUUCUCUAUUUUUGCUACUUAUCUUUACUUUUUAUUCUUUAAAUUACAUUGGGACAAUGUAAAAUAAGUAGGGGGAGGGAAACAUAAAUUGGUUCUAAUUUGUUUAUCCUUUAUAUUUUUUUUGCAUGUUUCGCGUGGAAGGUAAAUAAUUUCCUUGAUAAAAUAGGAUGGUCCACUUAUGGUUUGACAUAUUUAGCUAUUUAGAUCUUUAUGUAUAAACUUUUCAAUAGCUUUCUCACGUAAAAAAAAGAAGAAGAAAAAAACACAAAAAAAAGAAAGAAAAAAAUAAAUAAUACUCCUCUGAUACGAAUGUUGAGAGUGAAAAUUUGGGAUGCACACCAGACCGAGUAAACCGAAAUAUGGUGCUUGGGUUGUCAUCAUGUCUCACGUAAAAAGGUCCGUGUGGCUGCCCAAUUUCUUUGCACUCACUCCACUAACAAAGUAUCACGGGUAGGGUGAAAUAACCCGCUUAGAGACAUCCGAAUUGAGUAACCGGAACAUGGUGCUUAGGUUGUCAUCAUGUCUCGCGUCAAAAAAUUCGAAAAUAUCCUAAAUACAAAAAUAAAUAAAAUGAGGGGUACUCUCCCUUAUUUCUUAGGCUAGGUUAAUAUGUAAGGACUAAAUUGUUGAAUUGUGCAAACCAUGGGGGUCAAAUCCUAUUAUGGAGGAAAUUUUUCCUUUUGCAGAUACAUACAAAAUGCUCGAGGACUAGCAUGAACUAAGUAGAGAGGAUUUGAUUAAAUGCAAAAAGUACAUAUUUUAUGUAAUUUAAUUGGUCAAUUUAUGAGAAUGCACCAUUGAUUUUCUCCAUUUUAUAUUGAAUUUUAUACAGUGGUGUAUUUUGGGGUCAAAAGAGAAAAAGGAGAAGCAAUUGGGCCAGAUUGAAGAAAGGAGCAAAGAAGGCGGGCCAAAACAAAAUUUUUCCAAGUUAUAAUUAGCUGAAAUUUUAUUUUGACUUAGUGGGAGAUUAUGUAGGGAUUUUGAUAUCAUGAGAAUAUUUUUCCUUGAUUUUCUAUGGCUAGUGGCCUUUAAUUAGGCAAAUUUGUUCAAGGCCACUAGUAUAAAUAGGGGCUAUUAUGUUCAUUCAUUCAUCAAGUUUUUCAAUCAAGCUUUCAUCUUUGGAAUGUAAUCUUUUCUUUAUUUUCUCAAAAUUAUUUAUUGUCUUUGGUUUCUUUUACUUUUAAUUUAUUAAUUUCCAGCUUGUCGCCAACUUAAACCACUCACUUUUACCCAUUUCAACCCUAUUUCAUUUAUCCAACCCUCUCCAGAUAUACCCAACACCCAUAUGCCCCAAACUUAGCCAACUAAACCCAUUUCAGCUUCAGGUCGGUGUUAGCUUCGUCAAGACCCUGAGUUACAAAGCCGAGCAAUUCAAUUCCUAAUUUUUAGUACUUAUUAUUUCUCCGGAUUAAGAGUAUGACUUCGUCAACUCACAAAGUCAAGUCAACACUAAGUCAAAAAAGACGUCGUUUGAAUUAGUAUGGUUAGACAUAUAGUUGGAAUUCCGAAAGGAUCGAUUGUCUAAUCGAUUUUCUAUAAACACAUUGGUGUGCCAAGUGAGGAUUGUUGUUUGGUUUCGGCAAGGGAAAUAGUAACCGAAUUUAAAUAUCGCACGCGAUUGAGGGCAUUGGUUCGAGCUAGGCGUUUCUAGAACGCAAAGCUAUUGAAGUUCUAAAUCACGAACGUUUCGUAGGUUGUUCGAUCGGCAAGGGUUAGUUAUUGGACGUUCCAUAGCUAAUUUACACAAGGAAGAGUUGGUGUUCGAGGCGUCCUUCGUAGCUAUAACUAGCUUAUUGGAAAAGAGGAGUUCAUUUAAUUUUGAGGAUCGGUUUAAAGACGGAAAAAACCCGUACCUAAAGUUGAGCUAAGUUCAAUUAUUUUUUCUUCAGAUUUACCUAACUAUUUUUAUUAUUUAAUUGUUUUUAGCUUUUACUUUUUACGCAUUUUUUCCUUUGUUUAUUUCAGGUUUCAAAUUAUAUCCCCCUAUAUUAGGCCCGAUUUGCCCCACGCCAAUUCAGAAUAAACAAAAAAUAAAAAAAUCAAAUAAAAAAACAAAGAAAAUAAUAAAUAAAUUCAGUCCAAAAAAAACAAUCCAUUUACAAUUGGCUCAGAUCAGUUUACCAAAAAAUAAAUGGCCCAGUACAAACCCAAAUUCUAGUUUAAACACCUGAUAGCCCAACUAUCCUAAACCCAAACGGCCCAAUUACAGUGACCCAAACCCUAGCCCAACUCGAAGUGGCCCAUUUGCUUGAAACAUCCAAAAACCCUAGGGUUUCUGGAACGAUCUGCGCCGCAGGUAAGUCAGGCCCUUCUCGCGCGUGCACCACCACGCCUCCUAGCCGCGCCACGACAUCGUACGGCCAUGCCUGCAGCGAACGAGGGAUGAACAGCGCAACAGAGUCAGACCCCGCAUGUGCAGCGCCUCCGCGCCAAGCCCAUGCACACCUUUUCCAGCUGGCCUCCGUACACCUGCAUCGGAUGCAACAAACACAAAAGGCAGCAACAACAGCAGAAUAUAGGAGGAGAGUAGAGAAAAAUAGAGAAAUAAGAGAAUUUUUUUUGUAAAUCUCUACUUUAUUUUCGGCUAUAAAAGUAGCUUUGGAAUUUGUAAAAAAGGAGAUUUUUUUCUAUUCUCUUGCACAAACGAAAACACACAGAAACUGUAUCAAAAAGAAAGAUCAAUACAAAAAAGGAGAAGGUCUUUUCCUUUCUCUCUACGAUUCUUUUUGGUUGCUUUUCUUUCCUUUUUGUUUGCUGUUAAGUAUAUGUAAUAGAAUAAAUAAAAGAUAAAAGGGGAGAAGAAUCUUACCUUUGCGCACCAUUGGAGCCAUCCCCUACUUUAUCUGAAUCGGAACGAGAGAGGGGAGUGUUCUGGCUUUCAAGGCGGCGGAAAGGGGAGGGACAUCGUUUAGGGUUUAUUCCCUUAUUUUUUUUCUUUUUUUCUUUUUCUUUUCUUUUCUGACUGAAUGAACCUUGUUUAGUUUAUUAUUAUUAUUUAUAUCAUUCAUCCAAACGGCGCCGUUUAAUGGCCAGCGACCCGCGCGGUGACCCGAUCCAGGGAAGGAUCCGCGCGCUAUGGGCAUGUGGUCUAUUUGCGCAUACAGUCCCCCUUCUUUUCGUGUUGUUUCAACUUGAUUUUGUGUAAUUUUUUUUAUUUGUACCGAAUGUUUGGUCUUGAUUCCAUUUUGACCCAUAUGUAAACGGUGUCGUUUCCCGCAUUUGGCUUUGAUUAUUUAUCUCUGCGUUUAUUUUCCGUUCUGGUCCCUUAAAUUUGAGUCGAUUAACGAUUUAGUUCAUUCUUAUUUUGGUUGAAAUUUAUUUUUUUAUAUCUUAAUUGUUUGACAUAUUUAAAUAUUAUUUUGACAUAGUUAUUUUUAACAUCAUUUCAAUGUUUAAAUUUAAUAUUGUUCUUAAACUUAUUAUUAGUAUAAUUUAAAACAUAGUAUUAUUAUUUAAAUUAUAAAUUAUAUUAUUUAAAGUUAUCAUACAUUAGCUUUAUAUUCACCAUGUGUUCUUUAAAUUUUAGUAUGUUAACAUUUGAUUUACCAUUUAUCAGUAUAUAUAGAGUUUCCAACAAAGUACCGAGUAUACACUUACCAAGGUAAAAUUCUUGUCUUAUUGUUUGCAAUUGAUCUCUCUUACAACCGACUCACAGGGACAAUCCCACCUGGAUUGGGGAAUUUGAGUGAAAUUCGAGGACUAACUUGUCGCACAACAACUUAACUGGAGCCAUCCCUUCAACUUUCUCAAAACUCAAGCAGAUUGAGAGUUUGGACCUUUCUUACAACAACUUAACUGGCAGGAUCCCCUCUGAAUUGACUGAGAUGACUGCUUUGGCGGUAUUUUCUGUCGCACACAACAACUUGUCAGGGCCUCUCCCCAAUAGGAAAAAUCAAUUUGGGACAUUCGAGGAGAAUAGUUACAAGGGAAA
rnacentral:lncRNA from 1 species